UACGUAGGGUGCAAGCGUUGUCCGGAAUUAUUGGGCGUAAAGAGCUCGUAGGCGGUGUGUCGCGUCGGCCGUGAAAACCUGCAGCUUAACUGUGGGCUUGCGGUCGAUACGGGCAUCACUGGAGUUCGGCAGGGGAGACUGGAAUUCCUGGUGUAGCGGUGAAAUGCGCAGAUAUCAGGAGGAACACCGGUGGCGAAGGCGGUUCUCUGGGCCCGUACUGACGCUGAGGAACGAAAGCGUGGGGAGCGAACAGG
rnacentral:rRNA from 1 species